rnacentral:rRNA from 1 species
UACGAAGGGGGCUAGCGUUGCUCGGAAUUACUGGGCGUAAAGCGCACGUAGGCGGAUUGUUAAGUCGGGGGUGAAAUCCUGGAGCUCAACUCCAGAACUGCCUUCGAUACUGGCGAUCUCGAGUUCGGGAGAGGUGAGUGGAACUGCGAGUGUAGAGGUGAAAUUCGUAGAUAUCGUAAGGAAGACCAGUGGCGAAGGCGAAUCUCUGGACAGUUACUGACACUGAGGCACGAAGGCCAGGGGAGCAAACGGG